rnacentral:sRNA from 1 species
AUGGCGUCCGUAUGAUCUUCGGAGUCUGCUGCAUCGGACCUCGGCCAGUGUGAGCGGCAAGAGGAUAGGAGAUUAUCUUUCUUAUCGCGAUGGGACGGGAAAGGGCAGUUGGGGUCGGAGUCGGCAGCAGAGUGCAGAGCGCGGGCGGUGGAGGCCCUGGAGCAGCGGGCUAGGGGCGGAACCGAGUGCCUGUCAGGCGCGUCUGGAGCUCUCGGGCCCGCCGAGGAGAUCGCAUCGUAAAGGCAGCUCGCCUACUGCCAUAAAAGAUGACAACAGCAGCCAGGCCAACCUUUGAACCUGCAAGAGGUGGAAGGGGAAAAGGAGAAGGUGAUUUGAGCCAACUUUCAAAGCAGUAUUCAAGCAGAGACCUACCCUCUCAUACAAAGAUAAAAUACAGACAGACUACUCAGGAUGCCCCUGAAGAGGUUCGUAACCGUGACUUCAGGAGAGAGUUGGAAGAAAGAGAGAGAGCUGCUGCAAGAGAGAAAAAUAGGGAUCGUCCAACCCGAGGUACCAACACUAUCCAAGACAUUUGUCUCAUAAAAUUAUGUUGUUGAUAGUUUUUCAUUAUGUAGCAAUUGGAAAAUGUUAACCAUUUACUUUUACAGAUUGAUGUGAGCUGUACUACUUUCUUAGGUCAUUAGAGAUAAUAACAACAAAUAUUUACCAAAGGCUUAUUUGCCCAGGCACUGUGGAUGUGAGUUCACUGUGGAUAAUGCUUUUAAUGUGGGCUCCUUGUGCCCACAGGUCCCUAAAACAUUUUAAGAAAUGAAGUAUUUGUUUUACUAAGUUAAAUGAUUUUUGUUUCCCCCCAGAACAUACAACCUCCUCUUCAGUGUCAAAAAAGCCACGGUUAGACCAGAUUCCUGCCGCCAACCUUGAUGCCGAUGACCCUCUAACAGAUGUAUGUUUUGUUU